rnacentral:rRNA from 1 species
UACGGGAGGCAGCAGUGGGGAAUAUUGCACAAUGGGCGCAAGCCUGAUGCAGCCAUGCCGCGUGUAUGAAGAAGGCCUUCGGGUUGUAAAGUACUUUCAGUCGUGAGGAAGGUGUUAAGGUUAAUAACCUUAGCAAUUGACGUUAGCGACAGAAGAAGCACCGGCUAACUCCGUGCCAGCAGCCGCGGUAAUACGGAGGGUGCGAGCGUUAAUCGGAAUUACUGGGCGUAAAGGGCACGCAGGCGGUUAAUUAAGUUGGAUGUGAAAUCCCCGGGCUUAACCUGGGAAUGGCAUUCAAGACUGGUUAGCUAGAGUCUUGUAGAGGGGGUUAGAAUUCCAUGUGUAGCGGUGAAAUGCGUAGAGAUGUGGAGGAAUACCGGUGGCGAAGGCGGCCCCUGGACAAACGACUGACGCUCAUGUGCGAAAGCGUGGGGAGCAACAGGAUUAGAUACC